GUACACACUUUGACAACACAUAUACAAAAGUUGUAACCAUACAGAGAAGAUUAGUGUGGCCCCUGCCCAAGGAUAACAUGAAAAUUAGUGAAGUGUUCCAUAUUUAA
ensembl:snRNA U6 U6 spliceosomal RNA